rnacentral:rRNA from 1 species
UACGUAGGUGGCAAGCGUUGUCCGGAUUUAUUGGGCGUAAAGGGAGCGCAGGCGGUGACUUAAGUCUGAUGUGAAAGCCCACGGCUUAACCGUGGAGGGUCAUUGGAAACUGGUCGACUUGAGUGCAGAAGAGGGAAGUGGAAUUCCAUGUGUAGCGGUGAAAUGCGUAGAGAUAUGGAGGAACACCAGUGGCGAAGGCGGCUUCCUGGUCUGUAACCGACACUGAGGCGCGAAAGCGUGGGGAGCAAACAGGAUUAGAUACCCCGGUAGUCCCU